AACGAACGCUGGCGGCAGGCCUAACACAUGCAAGUCGAACGAGUGGCGGACGGGUGAGUAAUGUCUGGGAAACUGCCUGAUGGAGGGGGAUAACCACUGGAAACGGAAGCUAAUACCGCAUACUAUCGGAUGUGCCCAGAUUGGAUUAGCUAGUAGGGGGGGGAAAGGCUCACCUGGGCGACAAACCCUGGCCGGGCUGAGAGGCUGACCACAAACACUGGAACUGAGCACCGGUCCGCAUUCCUACGGAGGCAGGCGUUGGGAAAGAUGGCAAAAUGAGCACAAGCCUGAUGCGGCCAGGCCGCGGGGAGGAGGAGGGCCUUGGGGUUUUAAGGUACUUUCAGCGGGAAGACGUUACCCGCAGAAGAAGCACCGGCUAACUCCGUGCCAGCCGCCGCGGUAAUAC
rnacentral:rRNA from 1 species